UACGAAGGGGGCUAGCGUUGCUCGGAAUCACUGGGCGUAAAGCCAACGUAGGCGGACUCUUAAGUCAGGGGUGAAAUCCUGGAGCUCAACUCCAGAACUGCCUUUGAUACUGGUAGUCUUGAGUUCGGGAGAGGUGAGUGGAACUGCGAGUGUAGAGGUGAAAUUCGUAGAUAUUCGCAAGAACACCAGUGGCGAAGGCGGCUCACUGGCCCGAUACUGACGCUGAGGUGCGAAAGCGUGGGGAGCGAACAGG
rnacentral:rRNA from 1 species